CAUCUUUGAGAAACCAGUAAAGUACUUAAGUAUUUUUAGAGUCUAACAUCUCCUCAAAGCC
rnacentral:tRNA from 1 species